rnacentral:rRNA from 1 species
UACGUAGGGGGCUAGCGUUGUCCGGAUUUACUGGGCGUAAAGAGCGCGCAGGCGGUCGUUCGAGUCGAGUGUGAAAGCCCCCGGCUCAACUGGGGAGGGUCAUUCGAUACUGAUCGACUCGAAGGCAGGAGAGGGUAGUGGAAUUCCCGGUGUAGUGGUGAAAUGCGUAGAUAUCGGGAGGAACACCAGUGGCGAAGGCGACUACCUGGCCUGUUCUUGACGCUGAGGCGCGAAAGCUAGGGGAGCAAACGGG